rnacentral:rRNA from 1 species
GACGAACGCUGGCGGCGUGCUUAACACAUGCAAGUCGAACGGAAAGGCCCUGCUUUUGUGGGGUGCUCGAGUGGCGAACGGGUGAGUAACACGUGAGUAACCUGCCCUUGACUUUGGGAUAACUUCAGGAAACUGGGGCUAAUACCGGAUAGGAGCUCCUGUUGCAGGGUGGGGGUUGGAAAGUUUCGGCGGUUGGGGAUGGACUGGCGGCUUAUCAGCUUGUUGGUGGGGUAGUGGCUUACCAAGGCUUUGACGGGUAGCCGGCCUGGGAGGGUGACCGGCCACAUUGGGACUACGAUACGGCCCAGACUCCAACGGGAGGCAACAGUGGGGAGUAUUGCACAGUGGGCGGAAGCGUGUGGCGGCAACGCCGCGGGCGGGAUGACGGCCUUCGGGUUGUAAACCGCUUUCGCCUGUGACGAAGCGUGUGUGACGGUAAUGGGUAAAGAAGCACCGGCUAACUACGUG